rnacentral:rRNA from 1 species
CCUACGGUGCGCAGCAGUCGAGAAUCAUUCACAAUGGGGGAAACCCUGAUGGUGCGACGCCGCGUGGGGGAAUGAAGGUCUUCGGAUUGUAAACCCCUGUCAUGUGGGAGCAAAUUAAAAAGAUAGUACCACAAGAGGAAGAGACGGCUAACUCUGUGCCAGCAGCCGCGGUAAUACAGAGGUCUCACGCGUUGUUCGGAAUCACUGGGCGUAAAGCGUGCGUAGGCUGUUUCGUAAGUCGUGUGUGAAAGGCGCGGGCUCAACCCGCGGAAGGCACAUGAGACUGCGAGACUAGAGUAAUGGAGGGGGAACCGGAAGUCUCGGGGUAGCAGUGAAAUGCGUAGAUAUCGAGAGGAACACUCGUGGCGAAGGCGGGUUCCUGGACAUUAACUGACGCUGAGGCACGAAGGCCAGGGGAGCGAAAGGGAUUAGAUACCCCAGUAGUC